rnacentral:rRNA from 1 species
CCUACGGGCGGCAGCAGUGAGGAAUAUUGGUCAAUGGACGAGAGUCUGAACCAGCCAAGUAGCGUGAAGGAUGACUGCCCUAUGGGUUGUAAACUUCUUUUAUAUGGGAAUAAAACGUUCCACGUGUGGGAUUUUGUAUGUCCCAUAUGAAUAAGGAUCGGCUAACUCCGUGCCAGCAGCCGCGGUAAUACGGAGGAUCCGAGCGUUAUCCGGAUUUAUUGGGUUUAAAGGGAGCGUAGGUGGAUUGUUAAGUCAGUUGUGAAAGUUUGCGGCUCAACCGUAAAAUUGCAGUUGAAACUGGCAGUCUUGAGUACAGUAGAGGUGGGCGGAAUUCGUGGUGUAGCGGUGAAAUGCGUAGAUAUCACGAAGAACUCCGAUUGCGAAGGCAGUUCACUGGACUGCAACUGACACUGAGGCUCGAAAGUGUGGGUAUCAAACAGGAUUAGAUACCCGGGUAGUC